AACGAACGCUGGCGGCAUGCCUAACACAUGCAAGUCGAACGAGACCUUCGGGUCUUGGGGCGCACGGGUGCGUAACGCGAGGGAACCUGCCCGUAGGUUCGGAAUAACUCCCCGAAGGGGAUGCUAAUACCGGACAAUAGCUACGGACCAACGAUUUAUCGGCUUUGGAUGGGCCUGCGUUGGAUUAGCUAGUGGGUAGGGUAAAAGCCUACCAAGGCGACGAUCCAUAGCUGGUCUGAGAGGAUGACCAGCACCACUGGGAGUGAGACACGGCCCAGACGCCUGCGGGAGGCAGCAAUGGGGAAUAUUCGACACUGGGCGAAAGACUGAGCCUGCCGUGCCGCGUGAGUGAUGAAGGCGUUAGGAUUGUAAAGCUCUUUUAACAGGGAUGAUAGUGACAGUACCGGGAGAAUAAGAUCCGGCUAACUCCGUG
rnacentral:rRNA from 1 species